ACCAGGCGAGGUGGCACACGCCUGUCAUCCCAGUGGCUCAGGAGGUUGAGGCAGGAGGAUCGUGAGUUCAAAGCCAGCCUCAGCAACUCAGUGAGACCCUGUCUCUG
rnacentral:sRNA from 1 species